GCCAGGGCAAGACAACCCAGCACAGAUUACCAAAAGAGAAACAGCAUUAAGGGACCAGUGGAUGGAGUUUAUUUUAACAGAGCAUCCACGGAGUUGUGCAAGUGUUUGUUCCCCUGCAUUUCGAAGAUGCUUGUUUUACAAACAAGGUCCAGUUUGACGCCGGAUUUGCACAUCGUUUAUUUCUGAAGGAUAAUGCAAUCUCAACGAAAAAGGGUCACGAUCAUGUGUUGGAACCGCAUGCGGCACCUGACUCGACUCUGUAGGGUCAACGGGUACCUGACUCGACUCUGGAGGGACCACGGGGACCUGACUCGACUCUGGAGGGUCACCAGUGGCUGCCAUCUUGUGCAGUGGCACUGUGCCGGCGGCCAUUUUGUGCAGUGGUGCUGGGCUGGUGGCCAUCUUGUGCAGUGGCACUGGGCUGGCAGCCACCUUGUGCUGUGGCGCUGGACUGGUGGCCACCUUGUGCUGUGGCGCUGGACUGGCGGCAACCUUGUGCUGUGGUGCUGGCCUGGCGGCCACCUUGUGCAGUGGCACUGGGCUGGCGGCUACCUUGUGCAGUGGCGCUGGACCAGCGGUUAUCUUGUGCGAUGGCGCUGGGCCGGUGGCCACCUUGUGCUGUGGCACUGGGCUGCCGGCCACCUUGUGCAGUUGCGCUGGGCCGGCGGCCAUCUUGUCUGGAAAGACAGGUGUGGCUGGGGUAUCCCACUGAGACCGAUGGUGUAGGUACAUGGUGAACCCCCAAAAGUCCAGGAUCUCCAGCCCCUUCAUCUUCCACUCAGGCACAGGGUUAUCCAGGCAGGCGUUAAAAAGGUCUUUAAGUGCCUCAUCAUUGUACCCCAUUCCUACUGCCAUGGUCCAGAAUAUUUGCGCCAAACCACCCACCUCACUCCCCUUUUAACGGACGGUUGUUAAAUUCGAGAGUCUUCCCAUCCGCUCCUCUUUGGUGGCUGGGGAACGGAUACGAAAUCCCACACCGCUGAAUAUAGGCAUGAUGGAGUCCUUCUGUCCCGAAUGCACACAUGAAACGAGAGAUCCAAUAGCAGUGUUUAAUGGCAAAUCCAAAAUCAAAUCCAAAACAGGCAGGAGGUCAAAAACAGUGAAAGCAGUCCAAAAAAAACAAGAAACAUGAAAAACACUAAGAAACACGAGAAGCAAAUAGGGAACACGAGAAGCAGGGUGACAUGAAACUAGAGCUUAGAUUCUCUGCCCGAGCCCGAGCUCGACCCGACCCAACUCUUGAUAAAGCACGUCACGUGUCAUGCACAGCGUCUCGUCCACUCGCAGUCUCGCAUGCAUGACGCAUCACAUCUGCUGUGCGCGCUGUAGCCUACUAUUCUACUAUACUAGCCUACUAUAUAAUGAAACAGAUAGAAACCGACCGGUUUAUAUUGACAAGUGACAACGAUGAAAGUGGAGACAGCUGAGUGCAAUUAGCAGGUGUGCAAUUAACAGUGAUGACAGGGACAAGGCUUUGUAGGAAAUGUAGUGCCUACAGUGAGGUGACUAUGGGGAAGUGAGACCCCUAGUGGACACCUAGGGAAACACAGACCAGACACUGUGACACAAGUGUGCUGAAGGAUGUGCUGACAUGGACAACAGAGGACCUGAAUGCUGUUCUGUUGCAUGGAGAUGAGCUGUACACAUCAAUGACAAUGCAGGGGCAGAUCCACGAUCGAACAGGGCUAGGUCAUAUUUCUGUUGCAGAAAAUGCAAAGACUGUACACACUUAAUAACACAACAUUCUCAAUAAAGCAUGGAGGAUCUUUCUGUGGUGUUAAUCUCUAUGAUGAAUCAUUGCGAGAUGUGUCUAUGUCUAUAGAAGAAGCACUUCAGAGGGCUCUACUUCAGUGUGAUGCAUGUUUGUUAAACAUUAAAGAAUACAUUUGUGCAGUCAUAAAGGCAGGUUCAAUAUUUGCUUUAGUGGAUUCCCAUUCAUGUAAUGGUAAAGGUUUACCUGAGCCUUAUGGAAG
rnacentral:lncRNA from 1 species